UACGUAGGGGGCUAGCGUUGUCCGGAAUCAUUGGGCGUAAAGCGCGCGUAGGCGGCCCGGCAAGUCCGCUGUAAAAGUCAACAGCUCAACUGUUGAAUGCCGGUGGAAACUGCCGGGCUAGAGUCCGGAAGAGGCGAGUGGAAUUCCUGGUGUAGCGGUGGAAUGCGCAGAUAUCAGGAGGAACACCAAUAGCGAAGGCAGCUCGCUGGGACGGUACUGACGCUAAGGCGCGAAAGCGUGGGGAGCGAACAGGAUUAGAUACCCUGGUAGUCCACGCCGUAAACGAUGGGCACUAGGUGUGGGAGGUGUCGACUCCUCCCGUGCCGCCGCUAACGCAUUAAGUGCCCCGCCUGGGGAGUACGGCCGCAAGGCUAAA
rnacentral:rRNA from 1 species